rnacentral:rRNA from 1 species
CCUACGGGAGGCAGCAGUGAGGAAUAUUGGUCAAUGGGCGUGAGCCUGAACCAGCCAAGUAGCGUGAAGGAUGAAUGUUCUAGGGGUCGUAACCCUCUUUUAUAAUGGCAUAAAGUGCGGCACGUGUGCCUUUUUGUAUGUACCUUAUGAAUAAGGAUCGGCUAACUCCAUUCCAGCAGCCGCGGUAAUACGGAGGAUCCGAGCGUUAUCCGGAUUUAUUGGGUUUAAAGGGAGCGUAGAUGGCUUUUUAAGUCAGAUGGGAAAGUCUGUGGCUCAACCUGUGAAUUGCAUUUGAAACUGGCAGUCUUGAGUACGGUUGAGGCAGGCGGAAUUCGUGGUGUAGCGGUGAAAUGCUUAGAUAUCACGAAGAACCCCGAUUGCGAAGGCAGCCUGCUAAGCCGCGACUGACGCUGAUGCACGAAAGUGUGGGGAUCAAACAGGAUUAGAUACCCCUGUAGUC